UACGUAGGGUGCAAGCGUUGUCCGGAAUCAUUGGGCGUAAAGCGCGUGUAGGCGGUCAUAUAAGUCUGUUGUGAAAGUCGGAGGCUCAACCUUCGAAAGCCGAUGGAUACUGUAUGACUUGAGUACGGAAGAGGAGAGUGGAAUUCCUGGUGUAGCGGUGAAAUGCGCAGAUAUCAGGAGGAACACCAGGCGGCGAAGGCGG
rnacentral:rRNA from 1 species